GUGGGGGAUAUUGCACAAUGGGGGAAACCCUGAUGCAGCAACGCCGCGUGAGGGAAGACGGUUUUCGGAUUGUAAACCUCUGUCCUUGGUGACGAUAAUGACGGUAGCCAAGGAGGAAGCUCCGGCUAACUACGUGCCAGCAGCCGCGGUAAUACGUAGGGAGCAAGCGUUGUCCGGAUUUACUGGGUGUAAAGGGUGCGUAGGCGGAUUGGCAAGUCAGUAGUGAAAUCCAUGGGCUUAACCCAUGACGUGCUAUUGAAACUGUUGAUCUUGAGUGAAGUAGAGGUAAGCGGAAUUCCCGGUGUAGCGGUGAAAUGCGUAGAGAUCGGGAGGAACACCAGUGGCGAAGGCGGCUUACUGGGCUUUAACUGACGCUGAGGCACGAAAGCAUGGGUAGCAAACAGGAUUAGAAACCCGAGUAGUCC
rnacentral:rRNA from 1 species